UACAGACUGACCCUCAAGUCCAUUAAGCAGCCUGUGGAAAAUAAAGUUUUGCAUGGUAAGAACUGCACUACAGGCAUAUAGAACAUCCACAGUGGACUGAUUUUUGAGGGAGCUGAAGCACAGAGACAUAUGGAGGAUGUGCCCCAUCAUAUUGUGGCUCUUGAAGACAAAAUCGUCUACAGUGUUAUAGUUAUUCCCAGAAGUACCACUUUUGAUUUGCUGUGCUUCCUGAAAUGGUGUGGCAACAUGGCAGUUCUGACCGGGUUGGAGCUGUCAUUGUGCCUCUUAGAAAUCAGUGACUAAAUCAUGCCCCAUAGAACCAUCCAAGAAGGGGACUCUAGCCAGGUGGAAGCUGGGUCAGUAACUGUGUGGGAGCUGAUGGGAAUAAACUGCCACAUGGAAGAGAGAUGCCAUGUUGUUGAAGCCAUGCUGGUCCCAGGAUAGGAGAGACACAAGGAACUUCCCUGCAGUGGUGACAGCAAGCUUGUAUUGUGAUGCCACUAAUACCACCAACUCUGAUGGCAAGAACAGAAAUGUCAAGCUCAGAAUCUCACUUGGUGAACUCUGCCAACCUCAUAACUUCUGUUUGAGCUACAGCACAUCUUUUAGAAAGACAUGCGGUCUUCAGAAAGGAGGAGAGUAGCUUCUUUCAAGUGUCAUAUUACAGGGCUGUAAGGGACUUCAAGAGGUCAUCUAGUCCAUCCCCUCAGGCUGAAGCCGGAUUAAGUAUGCCUAGACCAUCCUUGACAGGUGUUUAUCUAACUUGUUCUUAAACCUACAAGAACAGGGAUUCCACAACCUGCCAAGAUACAGCAUUGAUCUUUCUGGGCUAGACUGCGACUUCGCCUACGUGUCUGUGCUGGGGACUGAGAGAGAGUAAGGGUAUUUCUACACUAGUGACUGGACAUGUAUCCAGGCACUUAGUUGCACCAUAACCCCUCUAUUGUUCCUAUUGUCCACACCUAAACCCCAGGAGUACGUGGCUGAAGGUGAGUACAGGGCGAGUAAGCUAGCACACCUCUGGCGUAUCGGUAAGUACAUACCUCAGGCUGUCACAUGACCCUUUACCCAUGUCAGUGUGCUGUGCAGACAGGGAUAAGAGGUGUGUACCAAGUCUUGAGUUUCAGUAGUUCGCCACCCUAUUCCCCAAAAUGCACUGACCUCUGACCCUUACCCUAAUCUAUAAAGGUACCUGUCCCCCCCCACCCCCCAUUUUCACUGGUCGUAGUGAUCUGUGCUAACCACAU